AGCAUGUUGAUUUAACAAGUGAACGGCCGUUGUAGGACUGAAAACCCAGGGUUAAGCCUGAAGUUACUUCGCUAACCUCAUAUCCUGAUUCGUAGUACAGGCUCAUGCCACUACACUGAAUUCUGCUGUGCUGUGGUUUGAUGCUGUUUAGUAUUUUGGGUUAAGAGGUUGACGAGUCCUUGUGCAGCAGCAGCAGCAAUACCACCGGCCUCAAUAUCCUACUGAGCAAAAGAUGCCACAGGGCGGGAGACUUGGCGACCAAUAACCACAUGUUAGCUAGCUGACUUGUAUUAGCUAACGUUAGCCAUGCUCCAGCGGACCUCUGCCAAAUCAGAAUAACAUCUGUUAAAAGACAUCAGUGAUACCCUGACACUCAGUGACCAGUAGAGAUGUGAAUCAUGCUGGAGGAGCGCCAGAUGUUCUGCCAGGAGGAUCUUUAGCAAGUUGAUCAUCAUGCAAUAACCACAUGAUUGAUCCACCACAUGGAUGCUUCACAGUCUCUUGUGGGAGCCCUGAGCAUGGCUAACUGUCUAUCAAAGAUGCCAUCGCCUGACUUUACCAAGGCAAAGACAUCAACUGGUCCAGGCUUGGAGUGGCUCUUAAAGAGCUCAAAUGUAAGGUAGCAUGUUUUAUAAGUCGCUUCUUCAAUGCAUGGUAUAUUAAAGCAGCCACUAAAACCAUUAAAGUGUGUGUGUAGUGGGUGACAGUCUGCAUUACAAAGCUGGGGUGUAAGAGUGGUGGUGUUAACUGUCUGCUGGCGUUAUGAGAGAGUGAGCUGUCAUAGACACACAUGUAAUGGCUCCCUUGCCGGCCGCCCAGUUCAGGUCCUGUGGGACACAGCACAGACACACCAUUUCUUCCCCGCCCCCCUUACUCCUCCUUGUGUUCCCAGUCCUCACUCCUCACUUCCUUUCCCCUUCCCCUGUUUCUAAACUCUGACCUGGAAAGGGACUAUGGCAGGCCUCUCAAAUCUUUUGUCUCCUUCUAUUGCACAGAUAGUAAAUCGUACACAUGCCAACAAUUACAUACACACAUACAGAAUCUCACAUGCGAGACUCGGGAGGCGCAUUAAGUGACCAUAUCCCAUAGGAUGGCCUGCUCUAUUCAGUAUACAGUGGGUUUUCUCAUGGCCAGUCAAGUCUACCCUCACUGAAACAGGCAAACAGGCAGCAGCGUCUCAAUAGACCAGAUAGAAUAGUCACACUCUGAUGGUACAUCUUUAUCUUUCUGACAGCCAUAGUAUACUUUAAGGACUGCUCUGUUAGCGGAGUGAGUUUACAGUCAGCUUCCUACUGGACACAUCCUUCAAGUGCAACGUCAUUUUUAACUCUUGUAGUUUCACUGAAAAAAUAAGCUUGCACUGCUUUGAUGUUAAAUUGUGAUAUUAGUAAAGGCAUAAAAAAGGGUUCUUCUGAAUAUUCCCCAGCUAGUUAUAUAGUGUUCUUGGCUAGAGAAAUGUUAAUGUUCAGUGCCACAAAUUUCACAAAUUGCACAUUCACUCAAUGGCUGAGCUUUCUCCUUCUCUUUCCCUCUGCUUGUAGUCAGUCUAUAAGCAUUCAUCCUUGGAGGCUUGUGGUUAUGACAGUCCUUUCAUCAGCCAUUAUCGCUGGUGACUGAUUAUUAUAUUGCGUAGGUUGAUUGACAGUUGACCUUCACACCAGUUUAUGAAGAACCGGCAAGAUACAGUGGGUCACCCCAGUUGCCUUGGUGUCGACAUAUUAAUACUAAUCUGAUAGAAUUACUAGGAACCAAUUAAUCUGAAGACCCCAGACAAGACAGUGGUUAAAGAGAUAGUGCUGUUUCUCAGCUUGGCUGAGGCAGCUCCUGCACAUAGGUGCCUGGAUUUCACUGCAGGAGUGGUUCAUACCCACCAACUCCAUGUCUGUGUGAUGAGCCAAAAGGUGAGGCGUCAUGGCUGUGUAAAUGCUUAGGUGAAGUUACACUAACCCAGUGUGGUAUACAGCUGACUCAUUAGUGCAAGGAAUGAGGUGGGGUAUGUAGAAAUCGACUAAUAUUUUUUGAUUAUUUUUUAAAAAUGUUUGUGAAUUAAUUCUUUAGACUCAGAAUCUAUUCCUUUACCCACAUUAGUCAUAUUUUUAAUGUAUGUGUAAAUAUAUAUAAAUAUAUAUAUUUUUUUUUUAUAAAAAUCUCACUGGUUGGCCUAACAAACUUGGGUUUGUAAUUGCAUAUAAAAUGAUACAAUAUUUCUGUUUAUUGUUGGUUUCAACCAUAAAGAUACAAUUUAUUGUGUCUUUGGUUUGAAAGUCCCUGAUUUAACUUUAACUUGGCUAAGUACUGGAACAGAUACAGAAUAUAUAUGGAUUGUUAUAAAGUGCCAACAUUUCCACAAAUAGACUUGUUUGCUAUUUAAUAUAUAUAUUGAUGAUUCUUUGGGUAAAAGUAGGCAUGAAAUGACACUCAAAAUGUAUGGACCAUAUCAUCCUACUGAUAUAUUUACCAUUGUCAGGUUUUCUUCCUGUCAGUGGUGCAGCUUAUCAUUUGAAAUUCAGUGUUUCCAUUUCAAAUUGACCUGUGUGGAUAUGAUUGAUAAUUAAACAUGUUGAUAGGAGGGUGAAGAAAUAAAGGCUGUGUUUGUUCAGAGAGAGAUAGCAGUCAGACAGUAGCCGAAGCAUGGCAGAACAGCCAGGCAAUAUUACCUCACGCUGAGCUGCAUAAUAAAGAGGGCCCGCAUGCAUAUUAAUAUCAGCACUCUGCAUAAUGUCUACAUCUUAUGACAGGCUCAGAAAUACACAGACACCUCAAUGGUGUUGCUGAACCUUUCCUGUGCUACACCAUGGUUAUUUGCAUCCACAUUCCCUCAUACAGGGAAGGAUCUCCCCCAACCCUGGUCUCACCCACAUCAGCUCCUCUGGCCCAGGCUGCCAGCCUCUUUCCCACACUCGACCAAUCUUGCACAUUAACAGUCGACCAUUGAAAUGCACGAUGGAGGUGUGUGAUACCAAACGAGUUCCUCGUUACCUCCCUCCCACUCGCUUGGUAGAAGCUUUUGGAAGAACUACAGCGACAUCUGCAUGUGCCAUGGUUACAAAGCGCCAGGCUCAUACCCACCCACUUCACUGGGCUUCCCCUGCCAGCCUGCUCCCAGUCUGUACUGCCCCACCUCCUCGCCCCUAAGGCACUCAUCUCUCAAAUUACUAAACAUGGCUAAUUGUGUGAGGCGUGAAGCUCACUUCAUUUGAAUAUUCUUGCUUGGGGGGGAUUUGCCUUGCAUAGGGGACGAAUUAAGCGAGGAUGUCUGAAAAUGGGAGGGUCUGCAAUUAGAUACACAGGUCUCUGUGGAGUAAAAUUUUACCAUGGAAUUGUUGUUUUCCAUGAUGUUAAUGUCAUACCUUACCAGGGUAUUUUUCUAUAUGAGACCUUAUUUUGGUUCAGUUCAGAACUGACUUUUGAAUUUGAAGAACCUGCAGUAAUUUAAAUCUUCUCAAGGAGGUGAUUUAUUAAGAAAGAGGGGUUUUGCCAUCUCCUUUAAUACUGUUGUAAUUUUUUAAUCUUGAAAUUAGAUUGAUGUAAGAGGGAGGCAGAACAAUCUUUUAGAACUCUCAAAAGUGCUAUAGUGGGUCACAGUGUGUAACUACAUCCUCCUGUAUGCUCUUGUGUUGUUGCUUUCUUUUGCAAGUUCAUAAAAUAUGCUAAAUGUAAUGAUAUGUCCACCAUGUGUGUGUGUAGUGGGGAGGGUUAAUUUAUACCUAAUUAAUCCAAAUACAAUAGGCCUGGUUCCAAAGCGAGAGUCAGGUUUGGGUUUGAUUGUGCAAUAUAUUCUGGGUUAUGUUUAUGUAAGGAAUAACUUGAAGCAGUUUUUGUUGUUUAGUGUAGGGCGAUGAUGGGAAAGACAAACAACAGAAUAGUCACAGUUACUCCCAUCAAGUAAGACGUUUUUUAGUGUCCCAGUCACUUAGCUUGCCUUUAACCUGGCUCACACCUGCUGCUAACAGUCACCUGCAGUGCUCUGUCCUCGUUCAUAUAACAUUUUAAGCCCUCAAAUAAACUCUCACAAAAUUAACGGCAAAUUGUUCUUCACAAUUCUUCAUAAUAUUCAUGAUUUUGCUGGUCAAAUGCAAAUAUUUAAUUUCCAGUCUGGAAUCGCAAUAAUAGUCAAAUUUCUCUUCCAUUCACAAAUCCACAAACAUCCAUUAGUUCUACAUGAACAGACAUUCACUGUAUAUGAGAUGGCUCCUUGCACAUAUUCUAAGGUGCUCAAUUAAUCCGUGUCGGAAAGGUUGAGUGCGCUGAGAUUUUAUAAUUAAUGUUGAAUUAAACGAAUUGGCAGGUUGCCAGAAUCUUUGAAGAUUGUCAUCGCAUAAUGAGUCGCUUUUCUUUCUUUAUAUUUUAUGCUUUUCUGUUUCCACUCCCUCGCUCUCUGCUGCCAUUUGCCCGUAUGCCUUAGCGAUUUAAUGAUAUGCAAAUGAAAUAUGCAUAAAACCAUUCUGCUGUAGGAUGAUUAAGCACAGAGGACAUUAGCCAGUGCCCGCCAGUGUCUGUUGUCUCCUCUGCAUUCCGCUUCGGCUAGGCGCCAACAACACCACUCUAAUAAAGAUCAAUGCUGCUAAUGUACUAAUCAUCUGAAUAACACAAAUAAUAUCCAUUUUGUGAGAAAUUAGAUUCCAGGAAGGUUUCUUCUAGCUCCAGUUUUGUAAGAUCCAGAACCAGGAAAGGCAGAUGUCUUCAUAUGUGAGAGUUGCUGCUCUAGAGAGCAGGGAGAGAGCAAAGAGACCACGUUUUCCAAGACAGAGCACUUCAGCAGCACUGGCAAAGCAGGAGAUUUUCUAUGCUUGUUUGUGAGUACUGUGGCAUUAUUUGACUACUGGCAUAUAACGAAGGAAGAAAAAAUAUCCCCGUUCUUGCUUUCCCUCUCUCUCUCUUACACACACACACACACACACACACACACACACACACACACACACACACACACACACACACACACACACACACACACACACACACACACACACACACACUCUCUCUCUCUCUCUCUCUCCACCCCCAUUCCAUGCUCUCUCGUGCAAGCCCUCUUUUUUUUUUUUUUUUUUUUUUUUUGUAAUCCAUUUGUGUAAUGAAGACGCUGCACAAUUAACAUCCCCCAUGGAAUUAAAUAAAAGGGUGAUUAUCCAAAGUUCAUUAGCUCCGAAAGAUUAGAAUAUCCACGUUUCCCCGUGAUGAAUAUGGAAAAAAUAUGGGACCAAUUACAAUUAAAACGUUAAUCGUAUUUGUUGCGAUCUCGAUUAUUGCGUUUGAGAUGCCCAAAAAGAUGCCAUCUUUCAAGCGGUCCUUCCUCAGUGGUGGUACAAGCAGAUUCAGACAUCUUAGUAGUGCCAAGGUUGGAUAGCAAGCACAAAGAUGUUAUAAUCCCUCCCUUUGGAUGACUUCCUUAAUUAUUCAUAUUGCACAACCAUGCCUCUUGUCCAAAGAAAUCCAGAAAAAAAAAAAUUAAAACAAUAAUUGUUGGAUGCCAGUGGAUGAAUAUCCUUGCGUUGCUAAUUACUGUUUUAAUUCCGACUGUGCAUUUUAACAAUGAAAACGAACUUGAUGAAAGCCUCCGUUGUGUGUCUUUGCAGCGAUGCCCAUCUUUGGCUCUGUGCCCGAUGCCAGCACACCUUGCGGGAACGACAAAAAUGUUCCUCCGGACCCAGAGAGUACGCCGAACUGCAACUCAGAGCAGUUGUUAAGUCUGCGUUGCAUCUGUUUAUGAUAGUUUAGCGCAGGAGGGAAAAUCCCGAAAGGGUGGAGUUUGUUCAUUUCUUUUGGAUGGUUGGCAAUAAGGGGGCAAAAAAGUCGUGGAGAUCUGGGGUGUGGGUGUGGAGGAUGUAAUGAGUUCCCACGGCCUCACUACCCCCAGUUUGGUUGCAGUCAGGCCAGCACCUCCCCCUCAGUGUCUCUUGAACUCAGGUUGCCUCCUUCUUCCUGUGCCUUCUGUACCCAUUCCACUGAGUUCCUGUUGUGUCCGUGCCACCUCUCUCACUUGGCUCUUAUGCUGCCGUACAGCAUAUUGAGCCUAUAGGAAUUCAAAUCCACGAUGAUUGAUGUGAAUAUAGAUGAAUUCGUGAUCUUUUUAUGACUUUUUAAUUUUUUCUGCUCUGUUGUCUCUGUCACAGGAAAAAAAAAACGAUCUGGUGGAAAACAGGAUGUGUGAUUAAUUUUGAUCAGCUCAAGUUCAAAUAAAGGAAAAGAAGUUAAUGAAUUCCAGUCCGUCCACUGAUUAUAAUUUGUUUUGGCAGUUCAUUAGUAUGCAUUCUCAUGUUUGCAUUUUUUGUCUAUCUUUUGUGUCUGUGACAUUGUAAACAGCUGCUAUUGAGCUUCAGGCACAGUCCCUCAGGUCCAUUCUUUCUCCCUCCUCCUCUUGAAGGCAGGCACGCAAGCGAUUGGCAGAUUGGCAGUGUCUGUUGCAGCAGUGCCUAUGGUAGACAUUCAAUGUAGCUGCCAGCCAGUGCAAGAAGAAAUGGCAGUUUACACUGGGGAAAAUGUGGGGUAGAGGGGGAAGGGAGUUGGCACAAAAAGAGGCACCCGCUUCACACCCUCUACUAAUAGUUAAACAGUUCGCCGCUUUUGUCUUGCUUCAUCUUGUUUUUUGUUGUUUUUUUAUCCCCAUUAUGGAUUCUUUUGUUGAUAAUUCAAGUCGUUCCUUUGAUUGAGUGUGUCACCCUAAUUAACGAAGUAAAUUCUGCCCUAAUUAGUCAUAUCAGGUGCUGUAAUGUCUCUGUUUGUUCUUUUCUCUUUUGUUUUUGGCAACCGACACGUGAAGGGUAUCCGAUUGUGUCGAUUUGGUUAAUUGUGGUAUAUCUCCCUUGUCCUUCGCCCGUUUUCAUGCCAGAUGCCAUCACAAUCCCGCUGGCACACCACUUAAGACCCGCAAGUGGCAAAUUAUUGCUCCUUGGGCAUCUUCCAAACCAAUGACUUUUACCCAAGUCCAUAAAUGCCAACUGUGAGAUUGAAAUGGCGCUUGUCAGCUUCCAAGGGUACAUCCUUUACUGCUAACAGAUGAGUUGGCAUGGCGUCUCCUGCCCAGAUGGCUGGCUGGCUGCCUGGCACAGAGAGCUGUGCCUCAGAUGGUUAGAGAGAGAGCAAGAGGGAGCGAGUGGGAGGAGCUUCCUUUUGUGCCACCGCCACACCCCCCAGUUAUUACUAGAAUAACAAAACAGCUCCAAGUUUCUAUUGUUUUUGUUUUUAGAAUUUCCAUCUCCUUCAUUAAUCCCAUGUGACACGUCUCCAUUUCCUGCUCUUGUGUAUGUGGCACCCUUCACUGUAGGUUCACUUCCUGUCUCAGAUCUUCUGUGUUGCACAGUUUUGCUGUAUUUUAGAAAAUGCUCGAUGUCCACCCUUGUACCAACAUCAUGUGCCAUGCAGCAACAACUAGUCCAUCUGAAUGGCAGCUCCCAGAAUAAAUUCAGCUAUAGCUCACAUCUUGAAGUCUUCGUCAGCAGAUGUUUACUUGUCCUCAAGGCGACACUGAAAUUAAGGAGGAAUGUAUGUCUAAAGAUGUGUAUCGUCACUCCAACAACAAACAAAAAACAAGAUAAAGGAACAACUAAAGCUAGUGACGCUACCAAAAUGACGGCAGGACCCUUCUGUCUCCAAGGCUACAUCUAACCACCUACCCUAGAGAGCGAACAGAAGUCCGCCUUGGUGCUACCACUGAAUGGAUGGCACUGUGCCAACUUCUCUCUGCCAUCAACCGCAUUCGCUCCUUGCUUCCCUUAUUUGCCCAUCCCCUUUCUCUCUCAGUCCCUCUCUUACCCUCCCUCCUCCUCUCCCUAGC